rnacentral:rRNA from 1 species
UAACUCUGGGAUAAGCCUGGGAAACUGGGUCUAAUACCGGAUAGGAGCGUCCACCGCAUGGUGGGUGUUGGAAAGAUUUAUCGGUUUUGGAUGGACUCGCGGCCUAUCAGCUUGUUGGUGAGGUAAUGGCUCACCAAGGCGACGACGGGUAGCCGGCCUGAGAGGGUGACCGGCCACACUGGGACUGAGACACGGCCCAGACUCCUACGGGAGGCAGCAGUGGGGAAUAUUGCACAAUGGGCGAAAGCCUGAUGCAGCGACGCCGCGUGAGGGAUGACGGCCUUCGGGUUGUAAACCUCUUUCAGUAGGGAAGAAGCGAAAGUGACGGUACCUGCAGAAGAAGCACCGGCUAACUACGUGCCAGCAGCCGCGGUAAUACGUAGGGUGCGAGCGUUAUCCGGAAUUAUUGGGCGUAAAGAGCUCGUAGGCGGUUUGUCGCGUCUGUCGUGAAAGUCCGGGGCUUAACCCCGGAUCUGCGGUGGGUACGGGCAGACUAGAGUGCAGUAGGGGAGACUGGAAUUCCUGGUGUAGCGGUGGAAUGCGCAGAUAUCAGGAGGAACACCGAUGGCGAAGGCAGGUCUCUGGGCUGUAACUGACGCUGAGGAGCGAAAGCAUGGGGAGCGAACAGGAUUAGAUACCCUGGUAGUCCAUGCCGUAAACGUUGGGCACUAGGUGUGGGGACCAUUCCACGGUUUCCGCG